UACAGAGGUCCCAAGCGUUAUCCGGAUUCACUGGGCUUAAAGGGUGCGUAGGAGGCAAGGUAAGUCAGUGGUGAAAUCUCCAAGCUUAACUUGGAAACUGCCGUUGAUACUAUCUUUCUUGAAUACCGUGGAGGUGAGCGGAAUAUGUCAUGUAGCGGUGAAAUGCUUAGAUAUGACAUAGAACACCAAUGGCGAAGGCAGCUCGCUACACGAAUAUUGACACUGAGGCACGAAAGCGUGGGGAGCAAACAGG
rnacentral:rRNA from 1 species